AUUAUCUUUAAUCUGGUCCAGAGAGGCUAGAAAGGUAUGAAAAUAGGAGUGUUUUUAUCUAUUACUAUGUUCAAGGUAAGUAUGCCUUUCUGUGCCCAUGCCCAGGAAGGCUUUUUUUAU
rfam:[Clostridium] purinilyticum strain DSM 1384 CLPT_10c, whole genome shotgun sequence.